AAUAAGAAGUGAAUCUGUACUGUUCAUCGCGAUUUGAUCUAGUCGUCUGAUCACGUUUAAAUAGAAAGUAGAUUUAAACCGUUCAUCGCAUUUAAUCGUGACCGUCCGAUCGCGUUUGAGGAGGGAACGGAUCCUGAUCGUCCGUGCGCGCAGGAAUGAAUCCGAACCAUCUGAUUGUGGGUAUGUGGAUCGUCAGUGUGACCUCCCGUGUGGCACUGCGUCAGCGUCCCUUGCCAUGCGACACUCUCCAGUUCGUUGGGGCCACUGACUGGACGCUCUACGUGGCACAAUUUUUCUAAAUUGCGUUUUGAUCUCUAGUUUCUGAUUUUUCUUUCAAAAAUAUCCACAUAACCCAAAUUUUUACUUAUUUUUCUCAAAAU
rnacentral:lncRNA from 1 species